CGGCCUCCCAGGUAGCUGGGACUACUCGAGUAGUGAGCCACCACGCCCAGCCAAUUCUUUUUAUUUUUAAAAAUAUUUUUCAGCCGAGCAUGGUGGCUCGUACCUUUCCAGCUACUUGGGAAGCUGAGGCAGGAGGAUUGCUUGAGCCCAGGAGUUCAAGGCUGCAGUGAGCCAAGAUUAUGCCACUGCAUUCCAGUCUGGGUGACCGAGUGAGACACCAACUCAAAAGAAAAAAAAAAAAGAAGAAAUAUACUACAUUCUGGAUUUGUUGGUCUCUUUCUUCAUGGUGUCAAUUAACUUGUAUCUCUAUCCCCUUUAUUUAGCUCUAACUGAAAGCUAUCUCUGAAGCACGGGUUCCCAACCUUGGCUACAAACUGAGAAGUUUUAAAAAUUAAUGAUGUCUGAGCCCCACCUCAGAGAUUCUGAUUUAAUUGGUCUAGGGCAGUAGUCCUUAAACUUUAGCAGGCAUCAGAAUUACCUGAAGGGAUUGUUAAACACAGAUUGCUGGGUAUCACACCCGGAGUCUGAUUCAGAAAGGCUGGGGCAGGGCCUGAGAAUGUUCAUUUCUAGUAGGUUCCAGGUAUUGCUUCUGCUGGUUUGGUGAAUGCACUUUGAGAACUCUUGGUCUCUCAUGAGGUCUGGGCAAGAUAUUUUUCAAAACUCUGUAGGUAACGUUAAUGUGCAGCCUGGCCUGAGAAAUGUGGAGCUAAUAGUUUCAGCCAACAGAUGAUCUUUGUCUGGAUCCAUUAUUUCAUUAGUGGGGUUACAAAAUGACCAUGCCUGGCCAAAGAAGAAGUUUUCAAAGGGAUUCUUUUAAUGAUCAAAUUUUAAAUUUGGAAAAGAGCCCUUAAAAUUAAAUGUAGGCAAGGUGCGGUGGCUCAUGCCUAUAAUCCCAGCACUUUUGGAGGCUGAGGUGGGCAAAUUGCCUGAGCUCAGGAGCUCAAGACCAGCCUGGGCAACAUGGUGAAACCCUGUCUCUACUAAAAAUACAAAAAAAUUAGCUGGGCAUGGAGACAUGUGUCUAUAGUCUCAGCUACUCCGGGGGCUGAGGCACGAGAAUCGCUUGAACCUGGGAGACGAAGGUUGCAGUGGGCUGAGAUUGCGCCACUUUACUCCAGCCUGGGCGACAAAGUGAGACUCUGUCUCCAGAAAAACUAAUUAAUUAAUUAAAUGUGUGUGUCGGUCAGUCCUCUUUGCAGGUAUGUACAUCUAGAAAAAGAUCAGGACAAAAUAUACCAACAUAAUAAUAAUAGUUAUCUCUGGAUAGUGAAAUUGUGGGUGAUUAUGUUUUUUACAUUUUCUUUUUGUUGUUGUUGUUGUUUGAGACAGAGUAUUGCUCUGUCACCCGGAUUGGAGUGCGGUGGCACGAUCUUGGCUCACUGCAACCUCUGCCUCCCAGGUUCAAGUGAAUUUCAUGCCUCAGCCUCCCAAGUAGCUGGGAUUACAGGUGCAGGUCAACCACGCACGGCUAAUUUUUAUAUUUUUAGUAGAGACAGGGUUUUGCCAUGUUUAUCAGGCUGGUCUCGAACUCCUGACCUCAGGUGAUCCACCCACCUCGGCCUCCCGAAGCACUGAGAUUACAGCCUGGGUGACAGAGUGAGACCCUGUCUCAAAAAAUAAAUAAGU
rnacentral:lncRNA from 10 species